rnacentral:lncRNA from 1 species
UUAGACCCCUAGCCUGGGAACCUCCAUAUGCCGCAGGUGCGGCCCUAAAAAGACAGACAAGACAAAAAAAAAAAAAAAAAAAAAAAAAAAAAGCAUAUAUUGAAAAGUACAUUUUAUACCUGCCUUAGCAUAAACAUGAAUAUAACCCAGAGUACAGUCAGUACUAUUGUUCAUUGUUAUAUUCAUUUUUUAAAUUCUUAUUUUAAGAAAAAUUAAAACAUUUUUGAGGGCCCUAAGCCCUGUGUCCACUAGACCUAAUAAAUAAGUUGGCCCCACAAGUAUCAGCAAUGGAAGUGUUAAAAGCCAUGGAAAAAACAAUAAUACAUAGCUUUGGAGAACAGAGUGGUGGUUAGCAGAGGGGAGGGGUUGGGGGAGGGUGAAAUGCUAAAGGGGACCAACCACAUGGAGAGAGAUGGAAACUGAAUCUUUAGGGGUGAGCAGGCUGCAGGGUUUCCAGAAGUAGAAAUAUAAUGUUGUACACAUGAAAUAUAUAUCAUAAAUGUCACUUCGAUUUUUAAAACUUAAUUUAAAAAUCAAAGUUUUUAAAAAAGCAAUGUUGGCAUUAUUUUGCAGCAUAGCCAGUUAAGGAUCUGGCAUUGUCACUACAGCAGUUUGGGUCACUGCUGUGGCACAGGUUCAAUCACUGUCAUAGAACUUCCACAUGCUAUAGGCAGGGCCAAAAAAAAAAAAAAAAAGACAAUGGAAAAAGUCAGAAGGGAAUAAAGGAUCAAAGGAGGGCUAGAAUCUGAAAUUAGCCUGACUUCUGGGAUGAGUCAGACAAUGUAACUGUAAAUCAACCAUAAGGCUUUCAGCGGCAACUAAGGCUGCAGCAUACACCAGAACAUCAGGGAAGAGGAAAUGUCUGAUAACCCAUUCCACAGCUCCUGAACCCCUUCAGGAGUUACAGAAUGAGCUAUCAGACAUGAGGUAUGUAAAAAAUAGUUACAUCAAGUACAUACAGUAUUUACAUCAAGUAGUAAAAAGUAUUUACAUCAGGUAUUUAAAA